UACGUAGGGGGCAAGCGUUGUCCGGAUUUAUUGGGCGUAAAGAGCGUGUAGGCGGUUUGGUAGGUCCGUUGUGAAAGCCCGAGGCUUAACCUCGGAAUUGCACCUAAAACUACAUGGCUAGAGUACUGGAGAGGGUAACGGAAUUCACGGUGUAGCAGUGAAAUGCGCAGAUAUCAGGAGGAACACCGGUGGCGAAGGCGGUUCUCUGGGCCUGUACUGACGCUGAGGAGCGAAAGCGUGGGGAGCGAACAGG
rnacentral:rRNA from 1 species